rnacentral:snoRNA from 1 species
AUUUUUUUAAUGAUGACUUCAUAGUUCAUCUGAUUACUAUGAUGCAUUACUAUUAUGUCUUUCGCUCCUAUCUGAUUCAAAUA